ensembl:lncRNA
CACAUGACUUGUAAAAAUGAUGCGUAUUUUGCGCGGAAUGCUUUCGGCGGCGUUCCAUGUAUAUUAUACUUUCUUUACUUUUGUCCAACUCAAAACAAACAACUUGUCAUGAAUACAGACUUACAUGUCACUGGAAUGAUCAAUUCCUUCGAUAAGAUCGGCUUCAUCCGCGCUGGUGGCAGAAUCCGGGCCAGAUGAGUGGCUGGACUCUUCAUCCGACUGGAGUUUGCUGGAGAGCUUUGCUCCAGAUGUAAAUAGUUUGGCGCGACCAGGUUUUCGCGGCUCCACAACUAAUGUGUGGAAGUGUGUCAAAGGUGUGUGUGUGGUGGGUCCGUGUACGGAUCUGGUAAUUGGAUUUUCCCUUCUGAAACGGGUAUUGACAAACAAAAAACGAGUGGUUAUUUGAUUUUCGUUUUAAAACACAAAUAUUAAAAUUUAAAUACAAAGCGUUUUUCCUUUUCAUGAUCAAAAAGGGAUAUACGAUUUUUUUAAAUGCUUUGAUUUUCGUUUUAUAUUUAGAAUAACAAGAAAGUAAAAUCAGUAAGAGACAGAAACGAAAAAAGGUCCGUUUUUUCAUUUUCUGAGACCGGAAAUGGUCAUCAGCAAGUGUGGAGCGAAACAACAACAAGAUUCUCAGAGGGCGGAGCCAGAGAGCAGUGAUUGGUCAGACAGAUAAUAUAGAAGACAGCGCGCUAGCGGAUCAAGUCUCUGUAUAUCUAUGGUCGGCAUGUCUGGUGGCAUCUCUGGCUGCUGUUGAUCUUGUUCUUGGAGUAAAACACGGUAAGAAGAUAAAUACUUCUAACCAGUAGCGUUGUUUUGUUGUACGUUAAGUCAGCGACUUGUGAAGAGUUGUGUUUUGUCGUGUUUGAGCAGUUGGUCCGGACGCGUUAGCUAGCUAAGCGGCUAAGUUAGCUAGCGGGCUAAUAAACACAGGUGGCUAACUUACCGCUGAACACCUGUGUUAGUUGCUGCCACAGCUGUCCGUCAUUAUUAGAAAGACCUUCUCAACCUGUAUUUCUCUGCUGUGUAUUUGAGCUUUUAAAAAGUUAUUUUACUUUAAGGUUAACUGAAACCAUUUGAGCUGCACUGAAGUUUAACAUUCAGCUGGUUUGAAUUAAACCGCGCUUAACAUUGCGCAACAUUACCUCUCUGAAUCUCCAUAAUUUCAUUAAAUUCCUUCUCUCUUCCACUGCUCAAGUUCAAUCCAGUAUAUAAAGUGACAUUAAUAGUGAAUAAACUAACAACCAGCCAUUGUAUUUAUUUAUUACUGUAUGUAUUUGUAGUAAAACAUGAGUUAAAACAUCCUACUUUUGGAUCUAGAACUGCACAAGCCGUUCAUUUUCAGUCACCUGACGAGUUAAACUCCCCUUUUUCUGUGAGGUUGAAGCAGAAAGUCUGAGUUAACAAAGAAAGUUCUUUAUAAUUUGCGGUACCUGUUAUCUCUGACUGAGGCUUUAGUUUUUGUUGAGCUGAUUUACACGUAGAAACUUUGUUCAGGAAAAUUUUUCAGUAGCUCAGAGGACAGGCUGCUUUUUACACAACCUUGUAAGAGAAUGUCUGUCAAUGCUUACGGAAGAAUUUAGGAACACAACACUUCCUAAACAGAUAUUUUGAGGCUGUGAGGUUGAACGUUUGAGAGUAUAUCAGUGUUUUUGUUUGUGGUCUUUCUGUUUCUAGGUGGAAGCUGAAUUAGUGAGGAUGACUCCUGCUCCUGUCAUCUCUAAGCUCCUCACACAUCUUUACCUGCACAUGAGGAAAAUCACUCCUGUAGAAUGCAGAUGUUCAGAGGGAGAUGAUGCCACAUCUGGUCCAGCUGAUGGAAGGUCUUGAAGUUCUCUGACUGGCCUCGACUGAAGAUGGUCGUCUCACUGGAUUUAAGUCUUGGCUGGAAAUAGAAUCUCUGUAUUGAUUCAGGAAGCGGGCGAGCUGCUCCAUGAACCGGGACGAGGGGGUCUACACCCUCUCGCAUACCUGGGAUUCCAUCCUCCAGAGACCACCGGACGGCGGGGGGCGUGGCCAGUCUGACAGAUUCUGACAGAUUGGUCAGACCGGUCCCAUGAUAAAAAAGGACACGUCGGAUGACGCUCUGAAGAAGACUGCAGUUGAAACAUGUCAGCUAAGAUGCACAAUGAGGGACGUCUGCAGAGACUGAGAAAGAGUCUCACCACAUCCUGACAUGAGGAAAAAGACUUUAUUGAAGACUACAAUGAGAAAAACUAUCAGACAGCAGACGGCUGCAUUCAAGAGAAGAAGACCAUCAAACAUCCACGUCAGCUGAUGGAGGUCCAAGAGUCUCACCAAACAAACAACCUACAGAGUGAAGACCUCAAAUCUGAUUGGACGGCCUCCUAUUCAUCCACAUGUGUGAACAAAUGCCUCUAAGCUGAUUUGUUUUCUAAAAUAAAUCUAGUUUGAGUCCUAAUCUAUGCCUGUGUGUUUGCUUCUUUACACCGCUGUUAACAGUUUAGGCUGUUAGAUUGUUCCAGAUAAGACAAAUACAAGAUUCUUCAGAGCCGUUCUACCACAAGCCUGACAGGAAGAACUCCAACAGCUACUGAAC